rfam:Myotis davidii contig112362, whole genome shotgun sequence.
GGCAGUUCUUGGGUGAUGCACCCCAGAAUCAGGCUCCCUCCUCUCUGGUUCCAGGUGCGUCAUCCAAGAACCGCA